AUGAACGCUAGCUACAGGCUUAACACAUGCAAGUCGAGGGGCAGCAUGGUCUUAGCUUGCUAAGGCCGAUGGCGACCGGCGCACGGGUGAGUAACACGUAUCCAACCUGCCGUCUACUCUUGGACAGCCUUCUGAAAGGAAGAUUAAUACAAGAUGGCAUCAUGAGUCCGCAUGUUCACAUGAUUAAAGGUAUUCCGGUAGACGAUGGGGAUGCGUUCCAUUAGAUAGUAGGCGGGGUAACGGCCCACCUAGUCUUCGAUGGAUAGGGGUUCUGAGAGGAAGGUCCCCCACAUUGGAACUGAGACACGGUCCAAACUCCUACGGGAGGCAGCAGUGAGGAAUAUUGGUCAAUGGGCGAGAGCCUGAACCAGCCAAGUAGCGUGAAGGAUGACUGCCCUAUGGGUUGUAAACUUCUUUUAUAAAGGAAUAAAGUCGGGUAUGCAUACCCGUUUGCAUGUACUUUAUGAAUAAGGAUCGGCUAACUCCGUGCCAGCAGCCGCGGUAAUACGGAGGAUCCGAGCGUUAUCCGGAUUUAUUGGGUUUAAAGGGAGCGUAGAUGGAUGUUUAAGUCAGUUGUGAAAGUUUGCGGCUCAACCGUAAAAUUGCAGUUGAUACUGGAUAUCUUGAGUGCAGUUGAGGCAGGCGGAAUUCGUGGUGUAGCGGUGAAAUGCUUAGAUAUCACGAAGAACUCCGAUUGCGAAGGCAGCCUGCUAAGCUGCAACUGACAUUGAGGCUCGAAAGUGUGGGUAUCAAACAGGAUUAGAUACCCUGGUAGUCCACACGGUAAACGAUGAAUACUCGCUGUUUGCGAUAUACGGCAAGCGGCCAAGCGAAAGCGUUAAGUAUUCCACCUGGGGAGUACGCCGGCAACGGUGAAACUCAAAGGAAUUGACGGGGGCCCGCACAAGCGGAGGAACAUGUGGUUUAAUUCGAUGAUACGCGAGGAACCUUACCCGGGCUUAAAUUGCAGAUGAAUUACGGUGAAAGCCGUAAGCCGCAAGGCAUCUGUGAAGGUGCUGCAUGGUUGUCGUCAGCUCGUGCCGUGAGGUGUCGGCUUAAGUGCCAUAACGAGCGCAACCCUUGUUGUCAGUUACUAACAGGUUCCGCUGAGGACUCUGACAAGACUGCCAUCGUAAGAUGUGAGGAAGGUGGGGAUGACGUCAAAUCAGCACGGCCCUUACGUCCGGGGCUACACACGUGUUACAAUGGGGGGUACAGAGGGCCGCUACCACGCGAGUGGAUGCCAAUCCCCAAAACCUCUCUCAGUUCGGACUGGAGUCUGCAACCCGACUCCACGAAGCUGGAUUCGCUAGUAAUCGCGCAUCAGCCACGGCGCGGUGAAUACGUUCCCGGGCCUUGUACACACCGCCCGUCAAGCCGUGGGAGCCGGGGGUACCUGAAGUGCGUAACCGCGAGGAGCGCCCUAGGGUAAAACUGGUGACUGGGGCU
rnacentral:rRNA from 1 species